GAUGAACGCUGGCGGCGUGCCUAAUACAUGCAAGUCGAGCGAACGGACGAGAAGCUUGCUUCUCUGAUGUUAGCGGCGGACGGGUGAGUAACACGUGGAUAACCUACCUAUAAGACUGGGAUAACUUCGGGAAACCGGAGCUAAUACCGGAUAAUAUUUUGAACCGCAUGGUUCAAAAGUGAAAGACGGUCUUGCUGUCACUUAUAGAUGGAUCCGCGCUGCAUUAGCUAGUUGGUAAGGUAACGGCUUACCAAGGCAACGAUGCAUAGCCGACCUGAGAGAGUGAUCGGCCACACUGGAACUGAGACACGGUCCAGACUCCUACGGGAGGCAGCAGUAGGGAAUCUUCCGCAAUGGGCGAAAGCCUGACGGAGCAACGCCGCGUGAGUGAUGAAGGUCUUCGGAUCGUAAAACUCUGUUAUUAGGGAAGAACAUAUGUGUAAGUAACUGUACACAUCUUGACGGUACCUAAUCAGAAGGCCACGGCUAACUACGUG
rnacentral:rRNA from 1 species